AUUGAACGCUGGCGGCAGGCCUAACACAUGCAAGUCGAACGAGUGGCGGACGGGUGAGUAAUGUCUGGGAAACUGCCUGAUGGAGGGGGAUAACUACUGGAAACGGUAGCUAAUACCGCAUACCAUCGGAUGUGCCCAGAUGGGAUUGGCAAGUUGGGGCGGUAAGGGCUCACAAAGGCGACGAUCCCUGGCUGGUCUGAGAGGAUGACCAGCCACACGGGAACUGAGACACGGUCCAGACUCCUACGGGAGGCAGCAUUGGGGAAUAUUGCACAAUGGGCGCAAGCCGUAUGCAGCCAUGCCGCGUGUAUGAAGAAGGCCUUCGUGUUGUAAAGUACUUUCAGCGGGGAGGCGUUACCCGCAGAAGAAGCACCGGCUAACUCCGUGCCAGCAGCCGCGGUAAUUC
rnacentral:rRNA from 1 species